rnacentral:lncRNA from 1 species
GAAUAAUUUAAACCAGACGAUUUACAUGUAAGUCGUCUGAUGAAUAAUUUAAACCAGACGACUUAUAUGUAAGUCGUCCUAAUAUUCCUGCUAUAGAUGUGUCUUGUUGUUUAAUGAUUGAAAGAUUCUGAAUUUAGUUUUGUCUUGCUAUUGCAUUAUGCAUAUAUGAUAUUACAUUCAAUUUCAAUUACUGGUGAAGUUUCAGACUUUGAAGGUUCUUUUGAGUAUAUAUGAUAUUACAUUCAAUUUUUGUUUCAUGGUUGAUUCAUAUACCUCUAUCACACUUGUUUUUACUGAAAAUUUGUGGUUAUGAUUUCUGUAAUGUAGCAAUUUGUGGAGAACAACAUCCGAAGAAAAUCUGAAGAAAAGAGAGAGUUGGAGCAUUUGGCUUGUGAAGUGACUCAAAGAUGAUUCUUGGUGUUGAAAAGACUAUAAUGUUUAGUCUCAUGUCUAAUAGUUUGUUUAUAAUCUAUAUGCCUAUUCUUUCAUUUGUGAUUUCUUGUUUUUGUAAACUUGCCAAAAGUACUUUUAUUGAUACAACAUAUUAAAAAUUAUUUUAACCAUUCUACUCACUCAUAGCAAAAAACAUCAUUGAUGCAUAUAACAAUAAUAAUACUUAAGUCAUUGAUACAACAUUUUAAAAAAGAAAUAUUUUAACCAUUGUACCCACUCAUAGCAAUAAUCAUCAUUGCUGCAUACUUAAGAGAUGGAAACAAACAAUAGUAAUUAGUCAAAACAUAUCACAAUUUUUACAAGUUUGUGUUAAAAAACUUAGUCAAACAUAUCACAAUUUUUACAUAUCUUGAAGUUACUUAACAC